UAAUUAAUAAAUAAUUGUUUUUUUGUCAUUAGAUCAACAACAAUAAUAAAAACCUACAAUAGUUUCAUUCAUUACCAUGUCUAUUACAUUACAAAUAAUCUAUGAAUAGACACUUGGCGAACCCGAGCUAGUAAUUGUGGAAAUAAUAAAUAAUCACCUAGCCCAAAGUUGAUCAAUGUUGAAUUGGGAGAAAUUAUUUCUCGGAUCAAGACACGCCAUGCAUCUAAGCAAAUUAGUGCUAGCUUCGGAAAACCGAGUGUUUAGCUCUUGUAUUGUUAGAUCAGCAACCUAAAAUAUUAAUAGAGUAUUUAGUUUAUUAUUAGUGCUAGCUUUCAGUCUGUCCCGUUUGUAUUUCUUAACAGAGUAUUUAGUUUAUUA
rnacentral:lncRNA from 1 species